rnacentral:lncRNA from 1 species
AUAUUGCAGUCUUACAAUGAUUAAGAAUUACUUUCUUUUUGCUGCCAUUUCGGUUUUGGGUUGGGGAAUCGGCCUAGACAAAUUGCUUUCUUUGGAGUUAUCUGGUAGGAUAUGUUUUUACAACUAUGCUCUAUGGAUCUUAAAUUUCACGAACUAGAAGCAUCACCACAUAAGCUUGUGGGAAUCUGAUCUCCAAGAGAUUUUGACAUGCUACUACCACUUUAAGUGGUCUGCUCGAUCAGAUCCUCUGUAAUAGGCAAUUGUAAUCUGAAAAUCAAACCUAUUAUUGUAUAUUUCUCAAUGCUUAGAAUUCCAUUACACAUCUAUUUAAUGUAUGUUGAAACCUCUUACCAUUUCAGCCAAGCGCUUCAGUACUGAUCUGACCCACAGAAAAUCAUC